CUUAUCAAGAGUGGUGGAGGAAACAGGUCCUGUGAAGCCCGACAACCUGACCGAGGGAGACCGAGGUUAAGGUGCCAGAUCCUGCGGUUUUGAUCCGAAAGAUGAGG
rnacentral:ncRNA from 1 species